rnacentral:rRNA from 1 species
GCCCAGCAGUAAACUUUUAUUUACACCUAAAUCGCCAGGGAACUACGAGCUAAGCUUAAAACCCAAAGGACUUGACGGUACCCCAUAUCCCCCUAGAGGAGCCUGUCCUAUAAUCGAUAAUCCACGUUUAACCUCACCAUUUCUAGUUACUCAGCCUGUAUACCUCCGUCGUCAGCUUACCACGUGAGCGUAAAUUAGUGAGCCUAAUGUCUUUCACCAACACGUCAGGUCAAGGUGCAGCAAAUGAAAUGGAAAGAGAUGGGCUACACUUUCUACAUUAGAAGAAACGAAAAACUACUUAUGAAAUCUAGUUGGAAGGCGGAUUUAGCAGUAAAAAGGAAUCAGAAUGUCCAUUUUAACCCGGCACUGGGGUGUGUACACACCGCCCGUCACCCUCUUCAAAGCUUAUAACCUAGUCUUUAACCAACCAAAGCACAACAGAAGAGGCAAGUCGUAACAUGGUAAGUAUACCGGAAGGUGUGCUUGGAAA